UCAACAGGAGCCACUCUUCCAAUUGCACUCUCACCAAAAUCUGCCAUAAGAGUAUCUGUUUUCCGAACAGGAUCGUGAAGAACUUUAAAGCUAGCUGGCAUUACCCCUUCCCCGAGCUUGAAUCUAUCUAUUCUCUUUUCCCACCCUUGAAGAUGUAGUGUCUUCAAAAGGAAGUUCUUAACUAUCUCAGGCUCACCAUUCAUCAGAAAAGCCAGGGCACUAGGCACAAAAUCUCGAACAAAAACCUGAUCAUAGUUCAAAACCUCCUCUGAGGCAUGGUCAAUUGCAGCAAUUGUGCCAACCGGUUGGCCUCUGAAGUACACUAUGGACCGUCUUAGUGCUUCCCAGGCAUCAGCCACCAUUGGGUGUGGCUCAAAAGAGUUGCGAGCUGAUGAGACUGGCGUGUCUAAUCCUGACCUGCCUCCAGGGGAAUAAGUGAUCUCACAGUAAUCAAGACCUCCUCUGGUGAGCCCAAUUGAGAGCUCACUGAGUGACCUCUCAUCAAAUGAUCUCUGCCUCUCAAUGUUCAGCCUCGGCUUGUCCAGUAGGCGAGAGAGAUCAAAAUCGUCCAUUUCAGAGAUUGAACAUGUUGAGCUCACAUUCCUAAGUCCCACCUCUUUAGUCCCAUCCAUAUGUUUAUAUCUUUCUAUCCUUGAAAAUUGCACCGACUACUUGGUUCUAUCACCAAUGAGAAGAUGUCCAGCUUUAAGGAUGCUAAUGUUCAAACACAAACCAGAAAUAGAAAAGGCAAGCUCAAAAGAUUUG
rnacentral:misc_RNA from 1 species